UACAGAGGUCUCAAGCGUUGUUCGGAUUCAUUGGGCGUAAAGGGCGCGUAGGCUGCGGGGCAAGUCGGGUGUGAAAUCUCAGAGCUCAACUCUGAAACUGCACUCGAUACUGCUUCGCUUGAGGACUGGAGAGGAGAUUGGAAUUCACGGUGUAGCAGUGAAAUGCGUAGAUAUCGUGAGGAAGACCAGUGGCGAAGGCGGAUCUCUGGACAGUUCCUGACGCUGAGGCGCGAAGGCCAGGGGAGCAAACGGG
rnacentral:rRNA from 1 species